rnacentral:lncRNA from 1 species
AUAAAUAUCAGUUAAUGAAAGAGCCCAAUGCAAAAAAAAUGCAUGUUGGGUCUUUGAAACAGUUCAGAUCAUUUUAAUAAUAAUAAGUUUGAUCUGUUUUACCGAGAAGGUCUACGGUUCAAGUCCGUAUAGCCCUAUAAAAUAAAAUAAAAAUGAAAAAAUAAAAUUGUAUAAUUUUCAUUUCUUCAUUAUUAUUUCUUGCUUGUAACUAAGUGAAAUUCAACUAUUCCUAUAAGUUUACUCACGGCAAUCGUUUAAGUUUAAGCAGAUGAAAGAAAAAACGCAUAUCAAUGGAUCCAAUCGAUAUUUAUUUUUUCAAUUGCAGAUAAACAAACCAACCUUUCGUCAUUAAUCUUCGGAGGCGAAUUACAUAUUCAUAUCCACAAUAAAAGAAUUAGUGAGACCCCCUUUCUUUUGAUAUCCCCAAUCUUAUUGAAUUUUGGAAGUCAAAUCAUUUCACGGGCCUGGUGAAAUGAAAAACUACGAAGAGGAAUUCACAUGGAUUUAGGAAGGGACUGCUGUAUUUGUGUACAAGCUAAAGUUUUUUGAAAAACGAAUAUCUUUGGUCACUUUCAUUAUCAAAUAGGCUUUUCCUUCGUAUACCUUACUUACCUCGACCUAGCGAAGCACAACACAAAAAAGGUAGUCUUCUUUUUCUGUAUUCAACCAAGAAAAACC